UACGUAGGGAGCAAGCGUUAUCCGGAUUUAUUGGGUGUAAAGGGUGCGUAGACGGGAAGGCAAGUUGGUUGUGAAAUCCCUCGGCUUAACUGAGGAACUGCAACCAAAACUAUCUUUCUUGAGUGCUGGAGAGGAAAGUGGAAUUCCUAGUGUAGCGGUGAAAUGCGUAGAUAUUAGGAGGAACACCAGUGGCGAAGGCGACUUUCUGGACAGUAACUGACGUUGAGGCACAAAAGUGUGGGGAGCAAACAGG
rnacentral:rRNA from 1 species